CGACCCACUGCUUAGUAUAUGCACGUGCUUCGGUGCGAGCAAUAUACAUUAAACUAUAGAGACCGCUGUUUCUUCUUUAAACCAGAGGAAGGAUACGGCAAUAACAGGUCUGUGAUGCCCUCAGAUGUUCCGGGCUGCACACGUGCUACAAUGAUCAUUGCACUGUGCAUCUAACCCAAUGUGCGUGGACGCCGCAUGCAUGUACUCCUUGUGGGUACACGCAUUGCUGAGCGACCACGCCGAACCUACUUCGAAAGUAAAAUUUCUCUGUGGGUAAUCCAUUAGAAGUAAUGACUCGCAUAGACCAUGGCACACCAAAUGUACGCGCAGGUCUACCCGGCUCGCCUUUGUGUGAGUGCAGUGCGUAGCUUGUUGUUUCGUACGUGCCACUCCGUAUUAAUUCGUACGUGGGGAUAGAUCAUUGUUUAAUUGUUGGUCUCGGUCUUAACUAGGAAUGCCUUGUACGGGUCUCUGGUUCAACAUACCACCCGGAAUACGUCCCUGCCCUUUGUACACACCGCCCGUCGCUCUUACCGAUGGAUUAUGCUAUGAAUCUAUAGGACUGCCAAAGUUGCCUCGGCUGCUUAGUGGAAAUAUAUAUGAAUAGCGGAUCUAAAG
rnacentral:rRNA from 2 species